GCCGGGGUGGCCGAGCGGUGAGUCCCCCUUCACGGGGCGCGAAGCAGCGGACUGCAGAUCCGCCAUACCGGGGUUCAAAUCCCUGCCCCGGCUCCA
rnacentral:tRNA from 1 species